GCUAUUAGCUGUGCUGAGGGUCGAUGCUAACAUUAAUGGGGUGCAUGAAUGUGGGAAUGCUUGUGAGCCAGUGGGUGAAGGUGUGUGCUUCCACUGGGGAACUGCAGUCCUGAUUAGCCUGAGAGGAGGAACAGGGCUUGGCUCUGAGCUUCGGGCUUAUAAGAGAACUGGUGUUGUUACCUGUGGGUGUUGCUAUGGCAGUGAGUGCCCUGCCUGUGCAGCCAGCAGAGUCAUUUCCAGCAGCUCUGCCGUCUUGGGGCUGGGAGGUGGUUUUCUGCCUCUUGCUCACUCACAAACAGGAGGCUCGGUCUCAGCAUGCACCACAGCUCUCUCGUCCUCACUGUCUUCCUGGGACAACUGCUGGGUGCCGUGGGGCAGACCAUUGUCAGCCAGCAAGAAGGACAGGUCACAGUGCAGGAGAGAAACACCUUCCAGACCACCUGCACAUACCAGGCAACUAACUUUUAUGCCUUGUUUUGGUACCAGCAGAAGAAAGGCCAAGCUCCCCAGCUGGUCACAUAUCAGGCAGCAGCAGGCUCCAAGCAGAACGGCCGUUUCACCACGUGGCUGAACACCACCGGGAAAUACAGCCUGCUGCGGCUGGCAGAAGUCGAGCUGUCUGACAGCGCCUUGUACCUCUGUGCUGUGCAGGACACCCUGGUGCAGGGAGCUUCCUCGGCCGUGCAACAACCCCAGGGAGGGAGGAGUGGCUGUAAGCAGAGCCGAGGUGCAGCAGGAACCGUUGGCAGCGACCACCGAGGACAUCGUAGUCAGCAUCACCUGCUCACACCCCAACAUUCAGUCUUACAGUGAUAUAUACUGGUACCGUCAGUUCCCGGGCCGGAGCCCCGCAUUCAUCGGGUUCAUUUAUGAAGGUUCCAAGGACGUGCCGGACCCGGCGGGGCAGCUGUCG